rnacentral:rRNA from 1 species
AGUUUGAUCCUGGCUCAGGAUGAACGCUAGCUACAGGCUUAACACAUGCAAGUCGAGGGGCAGCAUUGGAGUAGCAAUACUUCAGAUGGCGACCGGCGCACGGGUGAGUAACACGUAUCCAACCUGCCGCUUACUCGGGGAUAGCCUUUCGAAAGAAAGAUUAAUACCCGAUGGUAUAAAGAGUUCGCAUGUUCUCUUUAUUAAAGAAUUUCGGUAAGCGAUGGGGAUGCGUUCCAUUAGAUUGUUGGCGGGGUAACGGCCCACCAAGUCUACGAUGGAUAGGGGUUCUGAGAGGAAGGUCCCCCACAUUGGAACUGAGACACGGUCCAAACUCCUACGGGAGGCAGCAGUGAGGAAUAUUGGUCAAUGGGCGAGAGCCUGAACCAGCCAAGUAGCGUGAAGGAUGACUGCCCUAUGGGUUGUAAACUUCUUUUAUAAGGGAAUAAAGUGAGGGACGUGUCCCUUUUUGUAUGUACCUUAUGAAUAAGGAUCGGCUAACUCCGUGCCAGCAGCCGCGGUAAUACGGAGGAUCCAAGCGUUAUCCGGAUUUAUUGGGUUUAAAGGGAGCGUAGGUUGACAUAUAAGUCAGCUGUGAAAGUUUACGGCUCAACCGUGAAAUUGCAGUUGAUACUGUAUGUCUUGAGUGUACAAGAGGUGGGCGGAAUUCGUGGUGUAGCGGUGAAAUGCUUAGAUAUCACGAAGAACUCCAAUUGCGAAGGCAGCUCACUGGGGUACAACUGACACUGAGGCUCGAAAGUGUGGGUAUCAAACAGGAUUAGAUACCCUGGUAGUCCACACAGUAAACGAUGAAUACUCGCUGUUUGCGUUAUACAGUAAGCGGCCAAGCGAAAGCAUUAAGUAUUCCACCUGGGGAGUACGCCGGCAACGGUGAAACUCAAAGGAAUUGACGGGGGCCCGCACAAGCGGAGGAACAUGUGGUUUAAUUCGAUGAUACGCGAGGAACCUUACCCGGGCUUGAAUUGCAGAGGAACAUAGUUGAAAGAUUAUGGCCGCAGGGUCUCUGUGAAGGUGCUGCAUGGUUGUCGUCAGCUCGUGCCGUGAGGUGUCGGCUUAAGUGCCAUAACGAGCGCAACCCUUAUCAUUAGUUACUAACAGGUCAUGCUGAGGACUCUAGUGAGACUGCCGUCGUAAGAUGUGAGGAAGGUGGA